AACACCUAACCGUGUGCCAGCAUGUUGGGAAUCAUUCACCAUUGGGGAACCCUGAUUGUGCACGCCGCGGGGGAGGAAGUCUUCGAUUGUAACCCCUGUCAUGCAGAGCCAGGGCGAGAGUGGAUAGUACUGCCAAGGGGAAGAGACCGCCAAACCUCUUGUGCCCAGGCAGCCCGCCGGUAAUAACAGAGGUUUCUCCAGGCGUUUGUUCGGGAAUUCACUGGGGCGUAAAAGGGGUACCGUAGGGCGGCGGGGGCAAAGUUGCGCGUGAAAAGGCAGGGGGCUCAACCCUCUGGAAUGCGCGUGAAACUACCCCUGCUAGAGCGAUGGAGGGGGAACCGGAAUUCUUGGUGUAGCAGUGAAAUGCGUAGAUAUCAAGAAGAAGACUCGUGGCGAAGGCGGGUUCCUGGACAUGAGCUGACGCUGAGGUACGAAGGUCAGGGUAGCGAAAGGGAUUAGAUACCCCUGUAGUCCUGGCAGUAAACGGUGCACGCUUGGUGUGGGAGGAAUCGACCCCUUCCGUGCCGAAGCCAACGCGAUAAGCGUGCCGCCUGGGGAGUACGGUCGCAAGAUUAAAACUCAAAGAAAUUGACGGGGACCCGCACAAGCGGUGGAGUAUGUGGCUUAAUUCGAUGCAACGCGAAGAACCUUACCAGGGCUUGACAUCCCGCGAAGACUCGUGAAAGCGAGGGAUACCCUUCGGGGACGCGGAGACAGGUGCUGCAUGGCCGUCGUCAGCUCGUGUCGUGAGAUGUUGGGUUAAGUCCCGCAACGAGCGCAACCCUUAUCUUUAGUAGCCAGCAUUUGAGGUGGGCACUCUAGAGAGACUGCCAGGGACAACCUGGAGGAAGGCGGGGAUGACGUCAAAUCAUCAUGCCCCUUAUGACCAGGGCUACACACGUGCUACAAUGGCGUAAACAAAGGGAAGCGAACCUGUGAGGGGGAGCAAAUCCCAAAAAUAACGUCUCAGUUCGGAUUGUAGUCUGCAACUCGACUACAUGAAGCUGGAAUCGCUAGUAAUCGCGAAUCAGAAUGUCGCGGUGAAUACGUUCCCGGGUCUUGUACACACCGCCCGUCACACCAUGGGAGUCAGUAACGCCCGAAGUCAGUGACCCAACCGAAAGGAGGGAGCUGCCGAAGGCGGGACCGAUAACUGGGGUGAAGUCGUAACAAGGUAG
rnacentral:rRNA from 1 species